GACGAACGCUGGCGGCGUGCUUAACACAUGCAAGUCGAACGGAAAGGCCCUGCUUUUGUGGGGUGCUCGAGUGGCGAACGGGUGAGUAACACGUGAGUAACCUGCCCUUGACUUUGGGAUAACUUCAGGAAACUGGGGCUAAUACCGGAUAGGAGCUCCUGCUGCAUGGUGGGGGUUGGAAAGUUUCGGCGGUUGGGGAUGGACUCGCGGCUUAUCAGCUUGUUGGUGGGGUAGUGGCUUACCAAGGCUUUGACGGGUAGCCGGCCUGAGAGGGUGACCGGCCACAUUGGGACUGAGAUACGGCCCAGACUCCCUCGGGAGGCAGCAGUGGGGAAUAUUGCACAAUGGGCGGAAGCCUGAUGCAGCAACGCCGCGUGCGGGAUGACGGCCUUCGGGUUGUAAACCGCUUUCGCCUGUGACGAAGCGUGAGUGACGGUAAUGGGUAAAGAAGCACCGGCUAACUACGUG
rnacentral:rRNA from 1 species